rnacentral:misc_RNA from 1 species
AACUUUCGGCAACGGAUCUCUUGGCUCUCGCAUCGAUGAAGAACGCAGCGAAAUGCGAUAAGUAAUGAGAAUUGCAGAAUUCAGUGAAUCAUCGAAUCUUUGAACGCAUCUUGCGCUCCUUGGUAUUCCGAGGAGCAUGCCUGUUUGAGUGUCAUUCAACUUCUCAACCACAUUCGUUCAUUGAUUGUGGCUUGGAUGGUGGGGGUUUAUUUGCAGGCUUCUUCUGUGAAAACAGAAAGGUCGGCUCCCCUGAAAUGUAUCAGUGGUAUCUGAGGCUAUUGCUAUAGGUGUGAUAAUUAUCUAUGCCCUUGGUAUGCCGCAUGGAACUGCUUCCAACAGAGAUGAUCUUUUUGAUGAAUUUGACCUCAAAUCAUGUAGGACUACCCGCUGAACUUAAGCAUAUCAAUAAGCGGAGGCU